UACGUAGGGUGCGAGCGUUGUCCGGAAUUAUUGGGCGUAAAGGGCUCGUAGGCGGUUUGUCGCGUCGGGAGUGAAAUCCACUGGCUUAACUGGUGGCUUGCUUUCGAUACGGGCAGACUGGAGGUAGUGCAGGGGAGAACGGAAUUCCUGGUGUAGCGGUGAAAUGCGCAGAUAUCAGGAGGAACACCGGUGGCGAAGGCGGUUCUCCUGGGCAUGUCCUGACGCUGAGGAGCGAAAGUGUGGGGAGGCGAACAGG
rnacentral:rRNA from 1 species